GUGCCGCACGCAGGCUUCCCAUCCCCCAGCUGGCCUCCGGGGCUCCUUACCUCUCCGGUGGUCGGGCGCGAAUUACUGGAAAUUGGCUUUUCCCGUUGGGGCCGAAGGUACUUUCCCUGCGGCGGCGACUCAGCGGGGUGUCGUUCGGCCGGCGUGACGCAGCCGGAUCGGCGCCAGGCGGAAACCUAGCGGUGACUGUAUCUGAAUUUUGCAGCUGCAGAAUGUGUAGUACCUUAAAAGGAGCUAAAUUGAAGAAGGAGCGAGCGCAGCUUUUGGUCAACCCCAAAAAAAUAAUAAAGAAGCCAGAAUAUGAUUUGGAGGAAGAUGACCAGGAGGUCUUAAAAGAUCAGAACUAUUUGGAAAUUAUGGGAAGAGAUGUUCAAGAAUCAUUGAAAAAUGGCUCUGCUACAGGUGGUGGAAAUAAAGUUUAUUCUUUUCAGAAUAGAAAACACUCUGAAAAGAUGGCUAAAUUAGCUUCAGAACUAGCAAAAACACCAAAAAAAAGUGUUUCAUUCAGUUUGAAGAAUGAUCCUGAGAUUACGAUAAACGUUCCUCAAAGUAGCAAGGG
rnacentral:sRNA from 1 species